rnacentral:rRNA from 1 species
UUGUUAAGGUCUUUAAACCCAAAGAAUUUGGCGGUACCCUAUUCCAUUCAGAGGAACCUACCCCGUGAUUGAUAGUACACGAUUAACUUUACUUAUUCUAUUUGGUUGUAUAUCUCCGUUAUCAGAGAAUCUUUUUAGAGUUAAAAUUUCAGGAUUCAUGAUUUUGAAGUAUUUCAGGUCAAGGUGCAGCUUAUGAUUAAGAGGAGGUGGGUUACAAUAAAUUUUUGUUUAUUACGGUUUCUAGAAUGCUAUAUUUUGGAUUAAGGUGGAUUUGAUAGUAAUUUAAUUAAUUUAAUUUAAUUGAUAUUGGCUCUGGGGUGUGU